UGAGUUGUGAGGACUGCUACCCUGAGAACACUGAGUGCAUUCUGGAAUAUUCCAAAUGUGUGCCACUUCCAUACAAAAGAAGUUUUGAAUCCUGCAAGAGAGUUCACUCACCAGUGGGCUCCAUCAACAGACCAGGGCAAAGUCGGUCUUUCCUGCUACUACUACAUGCUACUUGACUAUGUCUGGAAGCCAUGGCUGCUGCCCUCAACAUGCUAAACUGAAACCCUCACAAAUAAAGUCACAAAUCAAGAAUUAACAUUGACGGUGAUGGUGGCAAGGGUGCCUUCAUAAGAUGCCAUCCAGCAAGUCCCAGCCUGGAGCCAGAGGCUGGCACUGCACGUCAGAUGGGGGAGGAUCUAUGUUAGGCAUCAGAAAGGUGCUUUAAGCAAGAAGGCAAGAGCUUCUGCAGACAGUGUUGCAAUUAGACACCUGACUUUAACUGCCAAAGGGACCAUCAGAGCACCUCUCCCUACCCUGCCGGACAUCUAUACCAGAAGAGUACGGAUAAGGGCCCAAAAUGUUUUAAAGGACAUUUCACGCCCAGACCAUGGACUGUUUAAACCACUGAGGUCAAGCAGAAGUCUCUGUUCUCACUUGAGGCAGAUUAUUGAGAGGGGGCGAGUGUCACUG